rnacentral:rRNA from 1 species
GAUGAACGCUGGCGGCGUGCCUAAUACAUGCAAGUCGAGCGAACAGACGAGGAGCUUGCUCCUCUGACGUUAGCGGCGGACGGGUGAGUAACACGUGGAUAACCUACCUAUAAGACUGGGAUAACUUCGGGAAACCGGAGCUAAUACCGGAUAAUAUAUUGAACCGCAUGGUUCAAUAGUGAAAGACGGUUUUGCUGUCACUUAUAGAUGGAUCCGCGCCGCAUUAGCUAGUUGGUAAGGUAACGGCUUACAAAGGCGACGAUGCGUAGCCGACCUGAGAGGGUGAUCGGCCACACUGGAACUGAGACACGGUCCAGACUCCUACGGGAGGCAGCAGUAGGGAAUCUUCCGCAAUGGGCGAAAGCCUGACGGAGCAACGCCGCGUGAGUGAUGAAGGUCUUCGGAUCGUAAAACUCUGUUAUUAGGGAAGAACAAAUGUGUAAGUAACUAUGCACGUCUUGACGGUACCUAAUCAGAAAGCCACGGCUAACUACGUG